AGUGAACGCUGGCGGUAGGCCUAACACAUGCAAGUCGAACGGCAGCACAGUAAGAGCUUGCUCUUACGGGUGGCGAGUGGCGGACGGGUGAGGAAUACAUCGGAAUCUACUUUUUCGUGGGGGAUAACGUAGGGAAACUUACGCUAAUACCGCAUACGCCCUACGGGUGAAAGCAGGGGAUCUUCGGACCUUGCGCGAUUGAAUGAGCCGAUGUCGGAUUAGCUAGUUGGCGGGGUAAAGGCCCACCAAGGCGACGAUCCGUAGCUGGUCUGAGAGGAUGAUCAGCCACACUGGAACUGAGACACGGUCCGGACUCCUACGGGAGGCAGCAGUGGGGAAUAUUGGACAGUGGGCGCAAGCCUGAUCCAGCCAUACCGCGUGGGUGAAGAAGGCCUUCGGGUUGUAAAGCCCUUUUGUUGGGAAAGAAAAGCAGCAGGUUAAUACCCCGCUGUUCUGACGGUACCCUAAGAAUAAGCACCGGCUAACUUCGUG
rnacentral:rRNA from 1 species